rnacentral:rRNA from 1 species
UACGUAGGGUGCGAGCGUUGUCCGGAAUUAUUGGGCGUAAAGAGCUUGUAGGCGGUUUGUCGCGUCUGCUGUGAAAAUCCGGGGCUCAACCCCGGACUUGCAGUGGGUACGGGCAGACUAGAGUGCGGUAGGGGAGAAUGGAACUCCUGGUGUAGCGGUGGAAUGCGCAGAUAUCAGGAAGAACACCGAUGGCGAAGGCAGUUCUCUGGGCCGUAACUGACGCUGAGGAGCGAAAGCGUGGGGAGCGAACAGG